rnacentral:tRNA from 3 species
GGAGGCGUAGCGUAGUGGUUUAUCGCGCCGGCCUGUCACGCCGGAGAUCGUGGGUUCAAAUCCCAUCGCCUUCGCCA